rnacentral:rRNA from 1 species
GACGAACGCUGGCGGCGUGCUUAACACACGCAAGUCGAACGGAAAGGCCCUGCUUUUGUGGGGUGCUCGAGUGGCGAACGGGUGAGUAACACGUGAGUAACCUGCCCUUGACUUUGGGAUAACUUCAGGAAACUGGGGCUAAUACCGGAUAGGAGUUCCUGCUGCAUGGUGGUGGAUGGAAAGUUUCGGCGGUUGGGGAUGGACUCGCGGCUUAUCAGCUUGUUGGUGGGGUAGUGGCUUAUCAAGGCUUUGGCGGGUAGCCGGCCUGAGAGGGUGACCGGCCACAUUGGGCCUGAGAUACGGCCCAGACUCCUACGGGAGGCAGCAGUGGAGAAUAUUGCACAAUGGGCCGAAGCCUGAUGCAGCAACGCCGCGUGCGGGAUGACGGCCUGCGGGUUGUAAACCGCUUUCGCCUGUGACGAAGCGUGAGUGACGGUAAUGGGUAAAGAAGCACCGGCUAACUACGUG